UCAGCAACGGAUCUCUUGGCUCUCGCAUCGAUGAAGAACGCAGCGAAAUGCGAUAAGUAAUGUGAAUUGCAGAAUUCAGUGAAUCAUCGAAUCUUUGAACGCAUCUUGCGCUCCUUGGUAUUCCGAGGAGCAUGCCUGUUUGAGUGUCAUUUUGAACUCUCAAAGCCCACAUUUUGACGUGGCUUUGGACUUGAGGGCUUUUGCAGGCUUUUUUUAAUGAAAGGCCUGCUCCCUUGAA
rnacentral:rRNA from 1 species